ACGAGAUCUCAAUCGCGUAUACGGAAUAACGACGCGGACUCAUAAGCACGGCAACCGGACGAGCAACAUGUGCGUAAGUACGUACAUAUGUGCGUUUCUCUCGCACGAUGGAAAUCAAGCGUAACCCCCUGCUGCUGCUGUCUGCAUAACAAUUGCCUGUAAUGGAGCUAUUUUCCAGCGGUCAUCCGAGAUUUGUGGUUUAUCGUGACACGAUCUUGGCUACCGAAACGUCCAGAUAUUAUCGUUUUUCCAUGGGUCUCUCAUAAGUUUCUGUCACGUCGCUCCAGGGAUUAAAAUACUAAUGACAAUCGAUGAUAUUAGCAGUGAGAAGGGUGGAGAAGGCGAUUCGUCUGGGAUCGAGAUGAAAGCGCAUUUCUAAAAAUGCACUUUCGACCGAGGAAUGCGAACGAUGAAGUUAAGGAAACAGAAAUAUGAAGAGCGAAACUCGCGCGAAAGAGCGUCGCGUAACUAAAAGAUUUCUGCAAGGACCACGGACGCAUGAGGGGAAUGGAAAGAAGGAAUCAACGGUGGAAGGUGGAUCGACACGGGAGGAGGACCGUUUCGGAGGUGGACGAGAUGGGAGGCUGUCUCCUCCUGCGGUUAGAGUCCCGGCGACGGUGGGACAAAAAUUAUCUUCCCCGACAAGAGCGGGCAACCGCGCUUCCAGGAAAAGGCGAUCCUUGUGUUGGUCAUCCCGCAGCACGCAUUAGCGUCGUCGUUCGGCCGGUUUUGUUUUUCCAAGUUUUAUAUUUCUCUUCGUCUCCGAGAUUCUCUCUUCCUUUUUCUCCCCCUUCCUCUCGCGCGUCUUCUCUUUUUCCUCGUCUCCUCACAUUUCACGUCGUCGCCACGGGCCACCGGAUUGUCGGCGCCAAUUAAGCCCGGUUCCUUGACUCCUUCGAGACGAGUCGUCUCAUAACCGACAGCAUUGUUGUUUCACGGUAGCCGAAGAAUUUUGCCAGCGGGAUUUUUUGAUCGGAUGCGAAACACCGAACACACUAUCGAUAUAAAAAAAAUAUCGAAGAUAUUUCUCAUAGUAUCUAUAUAUUUGUAAAUAUUUUAAUUUGCGUUUCAUCUCAAUAGCUGAAUCUCUUUAUAAAUCGUCAAAACAGAUAAUCAAGUUUUAAUACAUAAAAUCGAUUAUUAGACAUUUCCAUUAACAGUUGAUUCCUUGUUAUAUGAUGCAAUCGUCAACGUUAAUUAGAGCCAAUCGAUUAGUCGAAAGCGUUGUAAUGCCCGCAUUAUCUCGUAGGGACGUUAGGAUAAAAUACGACCGAUGCAGCUCAUCGUUAAGUAACGACGGAGAUAGGCGUGGCGCCGAUCAGAAAAUUGAAGGGUGCAGCUUGAGAUGACCGGGGGUGGCCGCCCUUCUCUGCACUUUGCGUCGCUGUCACUCCGAG